rnacentral:ncRNA from 2 species
GGACACGCCCCUGGAGAGACCCGUAAAGGGCAUCGAAGAAGAAACCCAGCUACUUGGGGAAUCUUUCAGAUAAAAGGACAGGGUAUGAAUC